GUAAUCGCAAAUCAGCAAUGUUGCGGUGAAUACGUUCUCGGGUCUUGUACACACCGCCCGUCACACCACGAGAGUUGGUUGCACCUGAAGUAGCAGGCCUAACCUUAGGGAAGGAUGCUCCGAGGGUGUGGUUAGCGAUUGGGGUGAAGUCGUAACAAGGUAUCCGUACGGGAACGUGCGGAUGGAUCACCUCCUU
rnacentral:rRNA from 1 species